rnacentral:lncRNA from 1 species
GGCUGUCAUUUACUAAAAGUUAUCAGUGGGAUAACUAUAGAAGUCCGCAUAUAUUUCUUAGUACUUUUAAUGGUUUUGAAACUAAACAUGCUAAAGAGAUGCUCAUUUUCAAAAUGCAGUUGGCUAUUGAAAGGGAACACAUUUUUACAAAACACGUGGAAGUUUGGGGAGAUAUUUUCCCAAACAAGUCCACAAUUUGGAGUGAAGAAGAUAUGGAUACCUGUUUAGAGUUAAUAACUGAUCAAGUAAAGUUAUCGGAAUCGGAACCGGGAAUGGAUGUAGUUUGGAUACUCCAUCAUGCCUGCUCCAAAUCACCGGGAAUGGAUGUAGUUUGGAUACGCCAUCAUGCCUGCUCCAAAUCAUCUGGAGUGAAGAAGAUACGGAUACUUGUUUAGAGUUAAUUACUGAUCAAGUAAAGUUAUCGGAAUCGGAACCGGG